rnacentral:rRNA from 1 species
UCCGCACGAGCGCACCCCUGCCUUUAGUUGCCAUCACGUUAUGGUGGGCACUCUAGAGGGACUGCCGGUGAAAAACCGGAGGAAGGUGGGGAUGACGUCAAGUCCUCAUGGCCUUUAUGUCCAGGGCUACACACGUGCUACAAUGGGCGGUACAGAGGGUCGCAAACCCGCGAGGGGGAGCUAAUCCCAAAAAGCCGUCCUCAGUUCGGAUUGGAGUCUGCAACUCGACUCCAUGAAGUUGGAAUCGCUAGUAAUCGCGGAUCAGAAUGCCGCGGUGAAUACGUUCCCGGGCCUUGUACACACCGCCCGUCACAUCACGAAAGCCGUUUGUACUAGAAGCCGGUGAUUCAACCUUCGGGAGAAAGCCGUCUAAGGUAUGAGUGGUGAUUGGGGCGAAGUCGUAACAAGGUAGCCGUAGGAGAACCUGUGGCUGGACCA